AAAAAUAGAUUUUUGCAUCCUUCCGCUUUUUGUUUUUUUUUUUGCUUGUUGCUUUUUCUCUUCCUUCUUCUUUUAGUUCAGAUAAACAC
rnacentral:ribozyme from 1 species